GAUGAACGCUGGCGGUAUGCCUAACACAUGCAAGUCGUACGAGAGUUUUUAACUCUAGUGGCGGACGGGUGAGUAACACGUGAGAAUUUGCCUUUAGGAGGGGGACAACAAUCGGAAACGAAUGCUAAUACCCCAUAUGCUUUCGAGUGAAAUGGAUUUUAUCCGCCUAGAGAGAAGCUCGCGGCUGAUUAGCUUGUUGGUAAGGUAAGAGCUUACCAAGGCGACGAUCAGUAUCUGGUUUGAGAGGACGAUCAGACACACUGGAACUGAGACACGGUCCAGACUCCUACGGGAGGCAGCAGUGGGGAAUUUUCCGCAAUGGGCGAAAGCCUGACGGAGCAAUACCGCGUGAGGGAAGAAUGCCUAUGGGUUGUAAACCUCUUUUUUCAGGGAGGAAUAAAAUGACGUGUAACCUGAAGAAUAAGCAUCGGCUAACUCCGUG
rnacentral:rRNA from 1 species